UUUAUAUGUCCCCUGCUUUCUUUGUUUUGGUGGUUACUUGUUGUCUAGAUUUUCCGAGGGCCUUUAAUGUAUUUGGUUGUAUUGCUUGCAUUGAUUCUAGCACCAGUUUUCAUUUCCAUAUUUUAAUUUAUUGAGAUAGUUUUUUAUAGUAGUAAAUGUAUUUUCUGUUGCCCUAUGCAACAGGAUACUAAUAUUGAUUUGAUAUAAUUAUCCAAUUCUUCAAGUGAUGAAGCCUGCCAGGGUGGCUCAGUUGGUUAGGGCGAAUGCUAGGAUGUGCGAUAGAGGUGCGGUCCCAGGUUCGAAUCCUGCCGCUGGCUAAAUACCCUUUUACCCAGUGUUGAUUGUUUCAGGUGCAGUCAUCCUGAGGUUUGGGUCCCCAUGGAGACUCUCAAGUGCUUAGCCAUGGAAGGUUCCUCGGUCAUAUUUAGAAAAAAAAAACUCCAAGUAAUGAAAUUUGGGCAGAUCUAUUAAUGCAUGAGUCAUUGGGCUUACCAUAGCUAGCUUGUCCAGUUGCCCCAAGGCUGAAGAAGGGAGGAUUGCAACAGAUCCUACAUUAAGCCUUUGGUUAAAUCCUGAUGGAUAUGGAUCCCAAAAACCUUUAUUCUCAUAUCCUGAAAGUUGAUGUGAUCCUCGAUGGAGCAUCUUUGUGCCUUGGAGUGAGACUUAGUUGAGUCAAAUAAGCAGGAUUAUAGUUGUUGUAGAUUAUUCUAAUAUACAUUGUAUUUAUGGAAGGCAGUGUCUUUUAUUUGCUUCUCUGAGUAAUAUCUUAAUUUUCUCUUUCA